GAAAGCAAAGCCAAAGAAGUAGAUUAAGCUUAGUUCUAGCCUUUUUAUGGUAAGUUCUUGUACUUGGAAGUUAAACUAUGUUUUUGAAUUUUUCUGAGAGCUUAUAUAUGGUGUUUUAUCCUUUUUAAGAUAUUUCUUGGGGUUUCCAAGUGGUUUGAGGUUUAGAAAAGCUUGAAGAGAUUGUUUUCGCCGAAAAGUUGCUCGGAUAAGCACAUCAAUACCUAAGACACCACUUGUUACACGGUGAACUAUAUUUUGGACAAAAGGUAGAGAAAGAAAUGUGUGAAUGACAUGAAGAGAACUGAAGCAUGGUCCUGACCCUGAUUUGUACAUAUGAACAUAUCGACCUUUUUGUGGGUUAUUUCAGUUAUCAGUGAGAUGUUUGUAAUAAAGUGUGAAGUUAUGUUUUGAAAACAAAUUGGGUUAUUUAAUACUUAUGUAUAAUAUGUUUAAGACCCA